UCAAUCCACUCAUAUAAAUAAAACUUAAGCAAGUUUGGUAAACAAAGUUUUCAAACUAGUUUGGAUAAGACGUCAGCUGGUACAAGAUGUUAGCCAUUACACUACUUAAAACGUAAAACUGGACUGACUAUCUGGUGACUACUACAGACUCAAAUGAUAAACAUAGAUUCAGUGGUAAAGUUAAUCCAGCAAAGAUGGAAAAGAGAAAUAUUCUGUGCCAUACCUUAUUUUCCAAUUUGUCCAUUCAUACCAUUUCCACACAAAUGAGCUCUUCAGGGACUCUCAGACAAUAUAAUCCACCUGCAAUGAUCCAUUUACAGCUUUCAAUACUUAAUGAAGGGACUUGAAAGCAACUGUAAAACCAUAUCAAAUAGCUUAGAAAUGUUUCCUUCAGUGAAAGCCACAUCAAGUAAAAUAGAGAGAGUGGAUGAAUGCAGCACGAGACCUUCUGAAAGCAUUUCAUGAAUAUGCAUUCUUGUGUCAGCAUAUCUAUCCUCUCUGAGAUACCUACGAGCAGUAAGCCCUAUGCAGAGACUUUGGAUGGACAAGUAUAUGCUUCCUUUUGCUUAAGAUACUCUUUAGCUUCCUUGAUCAGUUCCAUUUCAUAACGGCCAUGUAUCAUCAUCAUACUGCAGCUACAACAUCAGGAUGCAAUUCUUCAUUCUGAAGACUUACAAUGUACUUCCCCAUGGGGAUUGGGAGGAAACUUUAGAACUGUAUCAAGAAGAUUAAUUCCUUCAGUGGAAACUAAAUCCAGUAACACUGAAACAGUGGAGGCAUCUGGAGAAAAACCUUUCCCAAACAUUUCCUCAAGAUGCAUUUUUGCCUCAGCAUAUCCACCGCCUUUAAGAAAUCCAUGAACAAUAGUAUUGUAUGCACGGCUAUCUAGCAAGUAACCAUCAGCUUUCAUUUUCACAAGAAACCCUUCAGCUUCCUUUAGCUUUCCUGUUUCACAAAGUCCUUUAAUCAGUGUUGUGUAAGUCACAACACUAGGAUGCAAUUUUUUACUAUGAAGACUGCAGAAAACACUUAGUGCAAUGUCCAGUUUCCCACUUUUGCAAUAUCCAUUUAUGAUGAUGGUGAACAUAGCAAUAUGAAGUUCUACACCAUCACUUUCCAUCUUUUGUAAUAAUAGAAAUGCUUCAUCAAUAUGGCCAUUUUUGCACAAACCUUCUAACAUGACACAAUAAGUGUGAAAACCAGGUUUUAGUGCAGCAGCUUGAAUAUCAUCGAAAACUUGUUUUGCAGUGGCACACCUUCCUGCCCCAUAUAAACCUUGCAGCACUAUGUUAUAAGUAGCAAUAUCAGCUUUCAAACCUUUAGAUGGAAUUUCUCUGAAGAGCUGCAUAGCUUUGUCCACUUUCUUUUUCUUGAAAUAUCCGUAGAUUAAAAUACUAUAGCUGUGAAUAUCAAUACCCGGUCCUCCGGCAUUCAUUAGAUCAAAAACUUUUCUUGCCUCACCCAUUUGGCCCUGUAAACAAUAUCCAUCUAGCAGUGUUGUGAAGGUGAUGGUAGUAGGAUUUUCACCACGCUUAAUCAUGACACUAAUAAUGCCCUCCGCACCUUUAAUCUGUCCCUCCUUACUAAGCAUAUCAACCAACAUGUUGUACAUACAAAUAUUUGGAGAAAUAUCAAAAUCAGUCAUUCCAUCCCAAAGCUUUUUAGCCUCCUUCCAUCUGCCAUUGUUACAUAGGCCUUGAAUCAAACAAGUAUAAGUGAUGACAUUUGGGGAAAUGCCCUUAUCAAUCAUCUCAGCAAAAAGGGCAAGAGCAUCAUCAACCAUCUUAUCCUUACACAAGCUGUCAAUGAUAGUGCUAUACACGAUAGUAUUGGGCUUACACUUUCCUCUUUCCAUUAUCCUAAGAAAUUCAAGGGCAACGUGAAUGUUCCCAACCUUGCACAGCCCAUCUAUUACAGUCCCAAACAUAACCUCAUUGGGUUGGCAUAGUCUUUCAUAUAUUAUCUUCUUGAAUAAUUCUUGUGCCUCGGCAACCCUUUGUUGCGCAAAGAGCCCUUUAAGUAAAGUGGUGAAGGUGGUCACAUUGGGUGCAUAACCGCGCUUGAAUAAGGAUCCCAAAGCAUAAAAAGCACAAUCCACCCAACCCAUCAGACAGUAACAGUUAAUCACUAUAUUCAAGGGAUAACCAUCAAUAGGAAAGCCCAAGAAACACAUAUCCUUGUAAAGGGAAAUUGCAGCAGAGUAUUGCUUCAUCUUAACUACUCUACCAAGCAAUUUGGUGAAUUGAAUAACAGAUGGCAGAGGCCUCAUGCCGACCAUAUGCUUGUAUAAAUCCAAAGCAUCAUCAAGCCUGUCAAUAUUAUCAAGUAACCCAGAUUUAAACAACCUCCGAUUGCUAGACUCAAUACUCCUUUGAGACUGAAGAGGGGCAGGAAAAGCACUAAAAUUUCUACUCAUAUAACUAAAGGGUAACCAAAAACGAGGUGGGCUUGGGGAGAUAUGCUCAACAGAAAUACCUGCUGCGACAUUGCGAUCGAAAGAAGUGAUGACUGGUGCUCUUCUCGCUCUAGCAGCCAUCCGAGAAGUGUCUCUCCAUCUUUGUCCGAGACGUAGUGAAUAGUGAUACAUCCCUGCUCUGCAAAUCAGCGAUUUCAUUUGCUGUUACAAGAAAGAACGGAUAGUUUCAGAAACCUCC
rnacentral:lncRNA from 1 species